rnacentral:lncRNA from 1 species
GAGGAGACGAGAAGCAAAACAGCGUUAUCAGCCAUAGAAUAGAUAGGGCGGGGAGAAGUGAACAAGUGGUGUCGUGACGUAAAAUUAACCCUUCCUGCUACACGAGGUUUAAUGGCUCCUUUUAAUUAGUGGUUUUAUUCAAAAUAAGGGAAAUUCACAAAGUAUUUUAAUAUACAUACAACUUGUGCAAAUCUAAUCUCAGCCGAAUUUUAUGUAUUUCAGAAAUUAACAACAAUGAACAACACACUUUUAAAAUAUGCAAAAAUGGUACCUCUGCGCUGUGUGCGUCAGUACUUCCUGUCUUCAUAACUGUCAGUGUGAGCUGCCGAGGCGCCACAAAUCAGAUGAUGGAGUGUCUGUGGCGACGCCUCCACAUCCUGCUGCAGGUCUCCUUCUGGGUCUGUUUCGUCACAGGUUCAAAUGUAGAAUGGAGACGGGUUGGGGAAAAGAUAGAAAUAACUUGCUCCACUGAUAAACUAAAUCAAAAUGCAGUGUAUCUUUAUAAGAGCUACCACCAACGCCAGUCGGUGUUCUAUCUCCUUAAAGAGGGGGUUCCGAGUCGCACGGUAGCCUACAAGGACAAGGUUGAAGUUACAGGCUUCAACAAGCUGAGAGCCACAAUUAGCAACCUAACCGUAAAUGACACUGGAGUUUUCUGGUGCCAGUACUUGAGACAUGAUGGACCAACAAACCAUGAAACUGAAAACAAAGAGGGUGAAACAUUGUUGGUGGUCAAUGGGCCGGAGAAGGUGUGCCCCACACAUGGGUCGUAUCCAUCCACCAGCACAGAGGAGUCCAGUCAGACCUUGUGGAUCGUGGGUGCUGUCACCGUCUGCUCACUGGUUCUGCUGGUGCUCAUUAUCCUGCUCAUCUCAGUGAAGAGGUGCUGUGUACACAAUGGAAAGUACAGGUGUCAUCCCCAGUCUGCCGUUGGACCCCCAGCACAUCGCUCCGAUUCUGUUUAUGAGCAGAUGAGGCCCCAGAGGGCCACCUCUAUGUCUCCACAGAGGGCCACCUCUAUGUCUCCACAGAGGGCCACCUCUAUGUCUCACUCCUCUGCCCGGGUACUCAUCAACCCUACCUACUAG